rnacentral:rRNA from 1 species
GGCGGACGGGUGAGUAACACGUGGGAACGUGCCUUUAGGUUCGGAAUAAGCUCGGGAAACUGGGUCUAAUACCGAAUGUGCCCUUCGGGGGAAAGAUUUAUCGCCUUUAGAGCGGCCCGCGUCUGAUUAGCUAGUUGGUGGUGUAAUGGACCCCCAAGGCGACGAUCAGUAGCUGGUCUGAGAGGAUGACCAGCCACAUUGGGACUGAGACACGGCCCAAACUCCUACGGGAGGCAGCAGUGGGGAAUCUUGCGCAAUGGGCGAAAGCCUGACGCAGCCAUGCCGCGUGUAUGAUGAAGGUCUUAGGAUUGUAAAAUACUUUCACCGGUGAAGAUAAUGACUGUAGCCGGAGAAGAAGCCCCGGCUAACUUCGUGCCAGCAGCCGCGGUAAUACGAAGGGGGCUAGCGUUGCUCGGAAUUACUGGGCGUAAAGGGAGCGUAGGCGGACAUUUAAGUCAGGGGUGAAAUCCCAGAGCUCAACUCUGGAACUGCCUUUGAUACUGGGUGUCUUGAGUGUGAUAGAGGUAUGUGGAACUCCGAGUGUAGAGGUGAAAUUCGUAGAUAUUCGGAAGAACACCAGUGGCGAAGGCGACAUACUGGAUCACUACUGACGCUGAGGCUCGAAAGCGUGGGGAGCAAACAGGAUUAGAUACCCUGGUAGUCCACGCCGUAAACG